rnacentral:rRNA from 1 species
CCUACGGGAGGCAGCAGUUGGGAAUUUUGCACAAUGGACGAAAGUCUGAUGCAGCAACGCCGCGUGCGGGAUGAAGAUUUUCGGAUUGUAAACCGCUUUUAUUUGGGAGUAACUGUUUGAACGUACCAAAUGAAUAAGCACCGGCUAACUCCGUGCCAGCAGCCGCGGUAAUACGGAGGGUGCAAACGUUGUCCGGAAUUACUGGGCGUAAAGCGCAUGUAGGUGGUCUAAUAAGUGAACGAUUAAAUACCGACGCUUAACGUCGGAAAGGUUAUUCAUACUGUUAGACUCGAGGAAGACAGGGGCAGAUGGAACUUUAAGUGUAGGAGUGAUAUCCGUAGAUAUUUAAAGGAACACCAAUGGCGAAGGCAGUCUGCUGGGUCUUUUACUGACACUGAGAUGCGAAAGUGUGGGGAGCAAACGGGAUUAGAUACCCCGGUAGUCCACACUGUAAACGAUGCUCACUAGUCGUUGGUAGGUAGUACGUACCCGUUACGUACCGACGACUACGUACGUAGUAGAGCGCGUCGGAGUACGACGCAGUUAACUACAAGAAGUAGACGCGNGAGANGCGACGCGACGACGAGGAGAG